CUCUAUCAUCCUACGGGAGGCAGCAGUGGGGAAUAUUGCACAAUGGGCGCAAGCCUGAUGCAGCCAUGCCGCGUGUGUGAAGAAGGCCUUCGGGUUGUAAAGCACUUUCAGUCGUGAGGAAGGUAGUGUAGUUAAUAGCUGCAUUAUUUGACGUUAGCGACAGAAGAAGCACCGGCUAACUCCGUGCCAGCAGCCGCGGUAAUACGGAGGGUGCGAGCGUUAAUCGGAAUUACUGGGCGUAAAGCGCAUGCAGGUGGUUUGUUAAGUCAGAUGUGAAAGCCCGGGGCUCAACCUCGGAAUAGCAUUUGAAACUGGCAGACUAGAGUACUGUAGAGGGGGUAGAAUUUCAGGUGUAGCGGUGAAAUGCGUAGAGAUCUGAAGGAAUACCGGUGGCGAAGGCGGCCCCCUGGACAGAUACUGACACUCAGAUGCGAAAGCGUGGGGAGCAAACAGGAUUAGAUACCCUGGUAG
rnacentral:rRNA from 1 species